GUUUGACCUGCUCACUGAAUUUGUUUUAAAGAGCCGCGGUAUUUUGACCGUGCAAAGGUAGCAUAAUCAUUAGUUUCUUAAUUAGAGGCUGGAAUGAAUGGUUUGACGAGAAAUUAACUGUCUCUUAAUAAAUUUUAUAAUUUAACUUUUAAGUUAAAAGGCUUAAAUUUUUCUUUAGGACGAGAAGACCCUAUAGAGCUUUACAUUUUAAUUUAAUAUUUUUUUUAUUAUCUUUUUAUAUUAAUUGUUGAUGUUUUGUUGGGGUGACAUGAAGAAUAAAUAAACUCUUCAUUAUUAAAUCAUUAAUUUAUGUUUAAAUGAUCCAUAAUUUAUGAUCAUAAGAUUAAGUUACCUUAGGGAUAACAGCGUAAUUGUUUUUGAGAGCUCAUAUCGACGAAACAGAUUGCGACCUCGAUGUUGGAUUAAGAUUAAUUUUGGGUGCAGUAGCUCAAUAAUUAGGUCUGUUCGACCUUUAAAUUCUU
rnacentral:rRNA from 1 species